rnacentral:tRNA from 1 species
GCCGGCGUAGCUCAGCGGUCUAGAGCGAUGGAUUCAUAACCCAUAGGUCGGUGGUUCAAUUCCACCCGCCGGUACCA